UAAAAAUGUUAGAAAGUUGCAGCCUUUUUAUUUGGUACCCAGAGAAUGCCAGUAAUUUAACAUAUCUUGAGAACUGUUGCUCACAGAGUUUUAACAAGAACAAAAAUAAAUAUAACUUCUAUGUCUUCUUUGGCAUGUUGUAAAUUCAAAAUGAUAGCCAUUUCUUUAGCAGCAUUGUGAGAGAAAGAAACAUUGUAAAAUGAACUACUGGAUUUGGUCUUACAUGAUAAAAAACUUAGUAUAAUAAAUGAAAAUUUUAAUGUCAAAAAACCAAUGGUUUAAAGAAAACAUUAAUAAAAUAAAUGGUAACAUAAAAUUCAUAAUAUAGUCAGAACAAUAAAAUAGUUUUUGAACACUGGGGAUUGUUUAACUGCAGCUUUGAAGUUUUUAAGUACACGUAAAUCAAAUUCACACACAACUUUUAUUUAAUGCCAUUUCAGUCUUCAGAAAUGCAAUGAAAUGUCAGUAUAUACAUAUAUAUUUAAUAUCAGAAAUAAGUUUAGGAAUUCAAAAGUGCUUGGGAUGUGUUGGCAAACCAAUUUUUUAAAAAAUGUGGCUAUAGCAAACUGUGGUUGCUUCAUAAAGCCUAUGUAACUCCCAACUACCAACAGUACUUCCUGUUUUUUUUUUUUUUUAUCAAACAGAAAAACCACCUUCUCCUUUUUUUUUCACAUUUUGACAAUUUUUUAAUAAACGAAUGCAGUUAGUACAUUCUCUAUAAUUGUCCACGUAAAAUUAAAUGCUUAAUACCUUUUGAAGAAUAAAUUAUUAGUUCCCAUAACUAGACAGUUGGAAUUACAGCAAAACAGUCAUCCACAGAAGCUCUAUUGUCCAGCGUUUAGAAAUGUGAAUACAAAGCAAACCCUAACUUGGCAAUUACAUAUAUAUAUUUAUUUAUAAGCAUUUAGCUAAAAUUUAUUUAGUGAAUAAUUGAAACAUACAUAAUUUGCCAAUAUAAUGUAAGCUUGGAUUUCCAUAUUCUAAAACUUUUGUUUUUCUAAAUAUUUCAAAGAAACUUAUGUCUAUAAUUUAAUAUAUUCAAGUAUAGUUCCCUUUUCUCUUAUGUAUUAGCAACCAAACUGAAUUUUAGGUGAUCAAGCAUAACAUUUUAUUGAAAGUAUAUGAUGGAAUUCACUACACUGUAAGACUAAAACCAGGAACAGUGCAUCCAUGAGUAUAAUGUAUGUUGUGAAUAAUCACUAUCAAUGCCACUAUAUUCCCACAUAAAAAGGCAAAUAGCCCACUAUUGAUUUAUUCUGCUAAUUUCAACAAUCAUUGAUCUUGAGGUACAUGCCAAAAAUGCCUGAAUAAGCUUUGAAAUGUAAAACAAAAAUGUUUUAAAGAAGUUUAAUUGCAGUUGGCCAAUAUAUACUUAAUAUGGCUUGCAUUUUUUUUUUUUUUUUUUUGAAAUAACAUUGUGACUUAAAGGAUUUCUAGGUCCUAAAAUCUGGAAAAGGGAUCUGGAAAAAUUUGGACUCCAUGAGUAGUUUGGAUUCAAUCUCUCUGUGCUUUUUUUUUUCUUUAUAACAGGAAUGGGAUGGGGGGUGGGGGGAAUAAAACUUCUUAUGCUAUAUAGGUCAUGUACUGUGAGAAACAAGAAUACAAAACUAUGGGUUUAAAAACAACAUAUACAGAAAUAAUCGCCAAUCUCUGUCUACCUCCACAUCAUUUUGUCAUAGAAGUUCAUUGUGAUUAAAAAGUUUAAAAGUUUUUAAGAGAAAAGGUAGAUUGAGAAGUAGAAAGGAAGUAGGAAGGAAAUUGUGCAAAAAAAGAAACAGUUUAUUAGAUACUCUGACCCUGGGACACACUGUUCCUUUCCCCCAAAAUAUUUUCCGUGAUAGGAACUGAAUUUAAAAUUAUCACCUUGUUAGAUUGCCUGAAGAUCCAGCAACUAAAAACUUGAUUAAUGCACAACUUCCUUAAAAAAUGCCAAUUAACUAUUAGCCACUGACAGAAAAAUGUAAAUUAAUUUAAUAAGAUAGCUUUCCUUUCACCUUUUUAGCUGGAAAUGUCUGUUCUGAUAGAAUGGAUAUCCUGAUUUGGGGAAGAGGAAGAGGAAGGAACAAGGAGUAAGGAUCACACAGAAUCCUUCUGGGGAUAGGGUAAAUUUCGUUGAUGGAGUAUUGCUGUGAGGUGCUCAAAUAAGAUAGAUAGCAUGAAGGGGCUGGAAAGCCAGGAGAAAGAGAAUGUACAGAAUACCACAAAUAUGCUUUGCCCACUUUAAAGCCUAAGUUUUCUUGUGGGCCUUAGGGCCAAGAUAAAUGGUUGUUUUCCUUCUUCAUAUAUGAAAGACCUCUAUCUAGAAAAUACUAGUCAAUCUGUAUGGAAGUUUCUCUGGGCAGUACUAUUUUAACAUGUUGUUCCAAUGGGCAGACAUUAUAAAUACCAAGCAUCUGUUCUUAAGGUUGUGGGUUGCCUAAACAUAUGGAAUCCCUUUGAGCCAAACAGAGGUGCUAUCAAAAUUGUUUUAUUAUAUUGAAUUACCAAUGACAAUAAAUUACAAAAAACACUGUUUUAGACAUUGCUGAGUCUAACAAAAUAGGCUGAAGUUUGAUCUUUGUGAAAGGACUUGAAACCAUUGUUUUUUCCCACAAAAAUCCCCAUCACCAGCACUGCAUUCGAAUUUUCUUGAAAAUUGUUUCCUGAGUUUAUUCAUGGUAGUAUGUGCUUAAGGACAACAGGUUGUUAGUCUAUUUGAGCAAACCUGAUGUUUUCUCUAAGAAAAACAAAUUCAAUAUCCUCCCCCUUCAAGAACAAUAAAACCCCAAACUGUGCUAUCAUUAAAUACUACCAAAAACCAUUAACUAGAAAAACACAAUGCAAAAUCAUUAUUCAAGAACCCAUUAGAAACCACAGUAUUCUAAAGUCUUAUAGAAAAGAUGUGUUUUUACUAGUUAAGCAUUGAUAGAAGUCCCAUCAAAAAAAUGUUCAAUCCAAAUCUGCAUUUUUGGCUAUGGAGUUCUAGCCAAACUGGACAGGAUUAGGCAUCCUUACCUGGGCUCCUUCUACAAAAUGACAGUAUGUUUUGAAGCUCUCCCAUAUAAUAAGGUUGCCCCCUACUACUGUGGUUAAGCUAGCAUAUUUGAGUUUUUCACUAGAAAACUCUCAAACAAUUAUCGGGUACAUCCAGUAGCAUACCUGUAUCUUUUAUACACUGUCAGUCCUCACUGGGUGAUCAGAAAUCAUGCUGUUCAUUGCUUAAUUCUUAUAGUGUUCCUUUUAUGAUAGGACUGUAUGGCAUGACCUUUCUGAGCAAGCUAAUUUAAAAUUAAUUAAGACUGUCUACUUUUUAAAGCCAUUGAUUAUAGAAAACCUGAAAGUUAUUUUGUAAUCAUUUUUCAUUUUCUGAUUUCACUUCCCCUAAUUUUAUUACUUAAAAUGCAUCCAUGGAAAUAGUAUCUCUGUCCUGAAAACUUCAACACCAAAAUCACACCUCUGAGUUUGACUUAUCGAUUCUGAUAGGAAGGCAUAACAGCACUAGAUAAUGACAGAAGGAAAAUAAGUCAGAAUAUAUGCUUACAAACUGUUACAUGCAAGUACAUAUAGUAAUAAAGCAAAUGAGAAAAAAAGCCAAAAUGGAACAUAAAAAGCCAUAAGACAUGAUACCUAACUACUUCUAAGUAAUUAUUUUUCAUGUGGCAUAAAUUGUUAUUUAAUCUCUUUCAAUUAUUUCCAAAAGAUACCUCAAAAUAAGAAUACAUACUUUAAUAUAUCACACCCAGGAAACAGAUAUUUGUGCAUGGGGUAUAGAUUAUUUACAUUACAAACAGAAUAUGUAUAGUUUCUUUUAUUAAAUACCAAAGUUACGAGUUUCCUAGCCUAAAUUGUAUAAUUCAGCACUCAGUAAUCAACUUUCUCUCUGAAUAAAGCAAAAUAAAAUACAUAGCAAAUAGUACACCUAACACGCACAAGUAGUUCACUUAUAUUCACUAAAGAAAACUGUGAUAUCCUCCAGUUUACAUUCAUGAAUUCUUUCUGUCAGUAGUAGUAGUAGUAGUAGUAGUAGUAGUAGUAGUAGCAGUAGUAGCUGCUGCUGUUGUUGUAGCAACGGUAUUUUCUUCAACAACGUGAAAUGAUUCUUUAGCAUUUCAUCAUUUAGAGAAAAGAAUACAUACUACACAGUGGUUCUGAAUUAUACAUUAAAUAAGACCAAUUUGGCCAGUUUUUUAUAAAUAUGAUUUUAAAAUGUGCUCAAAUUUUUUGUAGACCAUUAAUAUUAUUCAUAUUUAAAAUGUUAGUUUAUCUUCAUGAAGUAAAAUGAUUAAGUAGCAUUGUCUAAAGUUUACUGUAAUACAAUAUACUAUAUCAUGUGUGCUAUAUGCACAAGUCCACUACAGCAAGAUGUCAACUGUAUUAUCAUAGGAUUCAAGGUAGAAUGAUAUGCUACACUGUACUUCAAAGCACAUCGAAGUCAGAAAAACAACAGUGUAGUUCAUUUAUAAAGGGGAUAGAUGAUGAUUACAAUCCAAUUGGUUAACUUGAAAGUCAGUUUAUAUAACACCAGGAUAGUGUCAACACCACAUACUUCAUUUUCAAAGGCUUAACUAUGACCUAUUUAUAAGAUUACACCAACAGUAUAAAGCCUUUGGAAAAAAAAAAAGUUUCACUUGUACUAAAUUUCCAUGAUGUAAAAUUUACAGAAGCCUUAUAAAAACCUUUAUUUCUAAAUGAGGCCACUUAUUAUGGAUAAUAUACAGAUCUGCCUGCACACAUUAUCUGAGAUAUAAUUCUUCUAUAAAAACUUUGGCACCAACUAUAUCAAGAAUUCAUAUAUUAGCACAAAUGUAUUUUGCUCUGGCACCAAACCACUAUGUUUACAUUUUAGUAACUACAGUGAGUCAAAUGAAUGGAGUCCUUUGGUUUUACGGAAUAACAAGCUUUUAUAAUAAGUUUUUGUUGUUUUUCUUUCAUUAGAAAAAGCCUAUCCUUCAGGAUCUGAUGUUUAAAAAUACUAACAUUGCUUGUCAUUAUACUAUUAUA
rnacentral:lncRNA from 1 species